UACGAAGGGGGCGAGCGUUGUUCGGAAUUACUGGGCGUAAAGGGCGCGUAGGCGGCGAACCAAGUCAGAUGUGAAAGUCCUGGGCUUAACCUGGGGACUGCAUUUGAUACUGGUUUGCUUGAAUUCGGGAGAGGAUAGCGGAAUUCCCAGUGUAGAGGUGAAAUUCGUAGAUAUUGGGAAGAACACCGGUGGCGAAGGCGGCUAUCUGGACCGACAUUGACGCUGAGGCGCGAAAGCGUGGGGGAGCAAACAGGG
rnacentral:rRNA from 1 species